rnacentral:sRNA from 1 species
UGUGCAUCAAAGCAGAAAAAGGAAAUCAAUGUCCUUUGGUGAGAAGGUAAAACUGGUAUAUGAAAAUUGUGAGGUUCUUAAGAAGAAAGUUGGAAGGCUGAAGGGCUAUUUAGGCAUCGAAAGAGUUCCUGCCAGUUAUACUAGAGAAGAACAAAUAGAAGAGGACGAAAAAAAGGAGCAGGAAGAAGAAAAGCAAGAGGAAGAAGGAAAAGAAGAGGAAUUAGAAAAGGUAUGUGUUUUUACAAGGGAUUUUAAAAGCUUAUAAAUCGUGUUUUAAAGAUUUUUAGCCGUUUUUAAAAGAUAGGCAGUGUUAGAUAUGUAUUUACAAGGGAUUUUAAAGACUUCUUAAUGGGGUUUUAAAAGAUUGAAAUUCGUUUUUAAAGGAUAGGCAGUGUUCGAUAAGAUUUUACAACGGAUUUUAAAAGCUUUUUACAAGUGAUUUACAUGAGUAACUUGUAGUUAUAAAACUUGUAAUUUUAUAUAUAGGUUGAAUACAGAGGCGACGAAGGGACAGAAAAACAAGAAAUCCCCAAACAAGGCGAUGAAGAAAUGGAAGGGGAAGAAGAAAAGCAAGAGGAAGAAGGAAAAGAAGAGGAAGAAGAAAAAGUAUGUGUUUUUACAAGGGAUUUUAAAGACAUCUUAAUGGGGUUUUAAAUAUUUAAAUUCGUUUUAAAGGAUAGGCAGUGUUUGAUAAGUAUUUACAACGGAUUUUAAAAGCUUUUUAAAAAGUGAUUUACAUGAGUAACUUGUAGUUAUAAAACUUGUAAUUUUAUAUACAGGUUGAAUACAGAGGCGAUGAAGGGACAGAAAAACAAGAAAUCCCCAAACAAGGCGAUGAAGAAAUGGAAGGGGAAGAAGAAAAGCAAGAGGAAGAAGGAAAAGAAGAGGAAGAAGAAAAGGUAUGUGUUUUUACAAGGGAUUUUAAAAGCUUAUAAAUCGUGUUUUUAAGAUUUUUAGCCGUUUUAAAAAGAUAGGCAGUGUUAGAUAUGUAUUUACAAGGGAUUUUAAAGACUUCUUAAUGGGGUUUUAAAAGAUUGAAAUUCGUUUUUAAAGGAUAGGCAGUGUUCGAUAAGAUUUUACAACGGAUUUUAAAAGAUUUUUACAAGUGAUUUACAUGAGUAACUUGUAGUUAUAAAACUUGUAAUUUUAUAUAUAGGUUGAAUACAGAGGCGACGAAGGGACAGAAAAACAAGAAAUCCCCAAACAAGGCGAUGAAGAAAUGGAAGGGGAAGAAGAAAAGCAAGAGGAAGAAGGAAAAGAAGAGGAAGAAGAAAAAGUAUGUGUUUUUACAAGGGAUUUUAAAGACAUCUUAAUGGGGUUUUAAAUAUUUAAAUUCGUUUUAAAGGAUAAGCAGUGUUUGAUAAGUAUUUACAACGGAUUUUAAAAGCUUUUUAAAAAGUGAUUUACAUGAGUAACUUGUAGUUAUAAAACUUGUAAUUUUAUAUACAGGUUGAAUACAGAGGCGAUGAAGGGACAGAAAAACAAGAAAUCCCCAAACAAGGCGAUGAAGAAAUGGAAGGGGAAGAAGAAAAGCAAGAGGAAGAAGGAAAAGAAGAGGAAGAAGAAAAGGUAUGUGUUUUUACAAGGGAUUUUAAAAGCUUAUAAAUCGUGUUUUUAAGAUUUUUAGCCGUUUUAAAAAGAUAGGCAGUGUUAGAUAUGUAUUUACAAGGGAUUUUAAAGACUUUUUAAUGGGGUUUUAAAAGAUUGAAAUUCGUUUUUAAAGGGUAGGCAGUGUUCGAUAAGAUUUUACAACGGAUUUUAAAAGUUUUUUAAAAGUGAUUUACAUGACUAAUAACUGUGUCCUGGCUUGUAUUUGGGAACUUGUAAUUAUUUAUACAGGUUGAAUACAGAGAUCAUCAUUCUACUUGCAAUGUUGAAGAAACAGAAAAACAAGAGAAUCCCAAACAAGGCGAUGAAGAAAUGGAAAGAGAAGAAGGAAAAGAAGAAAAAGUAGAAGAACAUGAUGAAUAUAAUGAUGCUGCAGAUCAAGAAGCGUAUAUAAAUUUGUCAGAUGAUGAAGAUAAUGAUACUGCACCCAGAGAGAAAGAAUCACAAAAAAAAAAAAAGAAGAAACAAAUGUCUGCUUUCCUUAACUUUUUAAAAAGACAUGAUAAAAUUGUCAAAAA